GACAAAAUAGACAAAUUCCUUGAGAGACACAAACUACCAAAGCUCAUGUGAGAAGAACAGGUCACCUGAAUAGCCCUCUUUCUAUGGAAAAACUCGAAUUUGUAGUUAAACUUUCCCGCAAAAGAAACCCCAGGACCAGAGGGCUCCACGGUGGAUCCCGCCCAAUGUCUAGGGAAGAAAUGACACCCAUGCUGCACAGACUCUUCCGGAAAACUGAAGAGGAUGGAGAGUUCCCGACAGGUCCCAGGAGGCCAGCACCACCCCACAGCAAGAGCACAGGAAGCGGCCACCAGGACAGAACAGGCAGACGGCACUUUAGGACGCUGUCACUCGGAGCCACGCUCAAGCUUCACUGCCAUUGUUGUCAGUAUUGUGGCCUCGUUCUUCUUCGAACCUCAUGUGAAAUCGUCCUUUGACUUUACACAUGAGCGUCCGUUUCCUCGCUUGGGUUUCUUUCUCACGUCACAGACCUUCCUUUAUGGAGUACACCCUUCAGAUCGUGCUGCCGCUAAGAUCCCUCCAGGAAGAAUUAGACCUUGGUCGUAUCCCAAGACCCUGGGCUCUGUGGACACGAGGCGCCCUGAGAUCUCUCGAGGGCCCCUGCUACACGGGGCUGGGGCAGGAGAGCCCAGGUGAUGUGGAUUUCUGAAGCCAGAGUCAUUCCAGAUGCUCCCUGCAGACUGUGGCUGGCAAGAAUGAAGGAGCUAGAAGCCUGUUGCAAUAACGCCAGAGAUGACAACGGCUACAUAUGGCAGGAACCCCUUCAGGAAUGACAAAACAGAGGCAUAAACAACCACUGCUUCAUUGUGCUCAGCGAGACCCACAGAACCAGGAGAGGAAAGAAAACGGGGGUUGACUUGAGACCCCAGGUUGGGGUGACGAAUGCAGCUGGAGCCACAGGUCCCUUAGAUUCAG
rnacentral:lncRNA from 1 species